rnacentral:misc_RNA from 1 species
GACGCCAUAGCCAGACAGCAUAGAAAGCUUCACGCGAAGCCUUCACCAGUUCGACAACAGCAAUAACCGAAGGAUCCGAUUGAAACAGACCCGAUUGUGUGUACACAUUUUCGGGUCGACCCGUUAUGGCUGCUACGGAAUCCAAAAAAGUGAACUCCGAGAACCCGGCGGCGGCAAAAACCGGCGGCAAAGUGUGGUUUUAUUCUUUGCUUCUCACUUUACAGUAUGGUGCUCAGCCGCUAAUAUCCAAGCGUUUUGUCAGGCGUGAAGUGAUAGUUACUUCAUCUGUUUUAACAUGUGAAGCAGUUAAGGUUAUUUGUGCUCUUGUUCUCAUGGCAAAAGAAGGCACUUUGAAGAAAAUUUACCGGGAGUGGACCUUAUUUGGCUCUUUGACUGCAUCUGGACUGCCU